rnacentral:rRNA from 1 species
AUUGAACGCUGGCGGCAGGCCUAACACAUGCAAGUCGAACGGUAACAGGAAGAAGCUUGCUUCUUUGCUGACGAGUGGCGGACGGUUGAGUAAUGUCUGGGAAACUGCCUGAUGGAGGGGGAUAACUACUGGAAACGGUAGCUAAUACCGCAUAAUGUCGCAAGACCAAAGAGGGGGACCUUCGGGCCUCUUGCCAUCGGAUGUGCCCAGAUGGGAUUAGCUAGUAGGUGGGGUAACGGCUCACCUAGGCGACGAUCCCUAGCUGGUCUGAGAGGAUGACCAGCCACACUGGAACUGAGACACGGUCCAGACUCCUACGGGAGGCAGCAGUGGGGAAUAUUGAACAAUGGGCGCAAGCCUGAUGCAGCUAUGCCGCGUGUAUGAAGAAGGCCUUCGGGUUGUAAAGUACUUUCAGCGGGGAGGAAGGGAGUAAAGUUAAUACCUUUGCUCAUUGACGUUACCCGCAGAAGAAGCACCGGCUAACUCCGUG